UACAGACUAUCUAUUUCUCUGAGCACCUUUUGCCAGAAGACCGGAAAAUAAACAAUAUGUUGAGUUUUACUUUUAAGCAUAAUAUCAUCCUUGAAUUAACCUAAAAAAAAAAUACUUACUGAACAUUUACUAUGUGCCAGGCAAAUGCAAGUGCUCAGGUGAGACAAAGAGGAGUAGAACACAGUUCUUGCCAUUGGAGAGCUUCUGUCGCGAGAGAGCUAUAUCUAGGACACAGUCACACUCAAGGACCAUCAACCAAGUAGGAACAAGGAGCCGGGGUGGCAGAGAUGGCAGCCAAGAUGGAGGUGGCCUGGGUCCCCGAAACCCCGCACAGAGGACAGUGGCUCAGAAUGCCACUGAGCUGCAUUGGACAGUAAGGUGAGCAAGAUUAAACCUUUAAUGUGUUAAGCCAUUUAGGUUGGAGGUUUGUUAGUGCCCCCAGCCUAUUUGGACCCACC
rnacentral:lncRNA from 1 species